GCCUGGCUGGCUUAGUUAGUGAAGUGUGUGACUCUUGAUCAUGGGAUUGUGAGUUCAAGCCCCACGUUGGACA
rnacentral:tRNA from 1 species